AGAGUUUGAUCAUGGCUCAGGACGAACGCUGGCGGCGUGCCUAACACAUGCAAGUCGAGCGAGAAUUUUGCAUCGGAAUCCUUCGGGAGGAAGAAGCAAAAGGAAAGCGGCGGACGGGUGAGUAACGCGUGAGUAACCUGCCUUCAGGAGGGGGACAACAUUUCGAAAGGGAUGCUAAUACCGCAUGACAUUGUUCUUCCGCAUGGAAGGACAAUCAAAGAUUUAUCGCCUGAAGAUGGACUCGCGUCUGAUUAGUUAGUUGGUGGGGUAACGGCCUACCAAGACGACGAUCAGUAGCCGAACUGAGAGGUUGAUCGGCCACAUUGGGACUGAGACACGGCCCAG
rnacentral:rRNA from 1 species